UACGGGGGGGGCAAGCGUUGUUCGGAAUUACUGGGCGUAAAGGGCGCGUAGGCGGCCUGCUAAGUCGGACGUGAAAUCCCUCGGCUCAACCGAGGAACUGCGUCCGAUACUGGUGGGCUUGAAUCCGGGAGAGGGAUGUGGAAUUCCAGGUGUAGCGGUGAAAUGCGUAGAUAUCUGGAGGAACACCGGUGGCGAAGGCGGCAUCCUGGACCGGUAUUGACGCUGAGGCGCGAAAGCUAGGGGAGCAAACGGG
rnacentral:rRNA from 2 species